UUUUCUCUUUUAAUUUGGUAGUUUAGAAGCACUGAUAGUUCUUAUGGACGAUUGUACUUUUUAGCAAUAUUGUGAUCAUAAUUUUGUAUUCUUUCUAUCCAGGUUAUACAUUUUAUGGACAUGGUUAUACUUGAAGAACCAAUAGAGAGGAUAUAUGUACAUACUCAAUGGCACUAAGGAUUGGUUGCUUUAAUCAAAGGAAUUUUUCUAUUUGUCAUGUGAGAAGUUAAAGUUUGAGAUAAUAUGAUUGGUUGCUUUAACCCCUAAGUUAGCAUGUGGAAAAUUUAAAUUGAAGGCACUGCUUGCAAACAUGGCUUCCAUGUAUGCUGAUAUCCAGGAAAUGUUAAACAAUUUGGGUGACUUGUUAUGUACUACCAUCGCUGAAUUUGACUUCUCUUGACAGGCAUUUCCUGUUAUGUUUUUAUGGAAUAAUUGGCAUGACUUAGUUCUUGCAAGGAGAUGUAAAAAUUAAGAGUUAAAGGUUCAAACCUGAGGGUGUGUACUCAAUUGUAACAUUGAUUGCUAUGCUAAGAUACAUCUGCAACAGGAAAGCAAGAGUUGGGCAUCAAGGAACAACCAUGAAAUGUUUGUAUUAGAGCAAUGUAGGUUAAAUCGGUUCUAAAGUUUAUCAUAGAAUAUAAGACAAUAUGGCUUUAAUCUUUCUCAAUUUUCACUUGUUUCAUCACUGGCUCCGUAUUGGGUGCAUCACAAGUUGAAGCCACAAAAUAAAAAUCUCUCUUAUUUGUUUCCACCUCAUUCGCGUCUGCAGUGAGAUCUAUAGUGUCUACCCAGGUAUCCCAUCCUUGAUCACUAAAUUUUUCCAUUAGAUCCUGCGCAUUUAUUCGUAAUAAGAAAAAAUUAAUAUAUGAUAACAAUAAACUGAUACAGAAUUGUAAUUGUAAAUAUACAUAGAUAACUACAUGAAUUUGCAAUUUAAUAUACCUUAGCAACAUAAUCUGCAGUAGAGUCCUUCCCUUUAGCAUCAACAUCAACAACCUUACCAAUGGAACACUCCUCAUACACAGAAUUAACCUAUGCGUUAAAUUCAAAUUAUAAUAACCUUAUUAUGGGUAAAUGCCUUUUUACCCCCCCCUGCUCUAAU